rnacentral:ncRNA from 1 species
UUUCCGCUUCUUUCCUCCCUGAGCGGAAGCCUUAGACAAUGAGGCCUUUUACCCCGAUUUAUUCCCCUUAAUAGGGGUUUUUUUU